rnacentral:lncRNA from 1 species
CACCCUUCCCUCUUAUCAGGCGAGGACAGCCUGCCAGGGGCUUCACUCUGUUGAUCAGGGUCAGGGGAAGUGACUUGUCUGAGGCCACACUGGAGGGCUCUGUGGGUGUGCCUGGUGAGCCUGGGUACUGGUGAGUUGCUUAGGCUCGGGCCUAAGGCCAUCCUCACAAGUACCCAGAGGACUGGCCUUACUGGGGAGGGAAGCCAUCUGAGAAUGCUCUCAGUGGUAGCUCUUAGACUAGACAAGAGGGCAUUGGGAAAGUGGGAGGGCACAGGAAAAGGCACCGAGGCCCUUUGGGCAGAGGCCAGCCUUGCACUGACCUUUGAGGGCUCAGACAGUUUUGGCCCCUGGGGUGCAGAGGUUAGGGAAGGCCUGAACAUCAGACCCAGCCCAGAUCUUUGCCCAGAAGCUGACAACUGGAGCAUUGUGUGGCCAGAGGCUGUUUCAAGCCAGCCUGGUCCUAGCCUCUAACCAGCCCAGUGGUAGAAGGAAGUAGAAGGAAACCUCCAUUUUUGGCCAUCGCAUCUUGAGAGAUGUGUGGGGCUGCCCUCUUUUUUGUCCCAGGCAGCCUCUCCCAGGCCCUGCCCUAACUCCCACUUAGGGACAGGCAGGAGAGGCACCUGACCCCAGGGCCCAGGACAUCCAGCCCAAGCUCAUCAGGCCCUGCCCUGCCCGGCCCUGCCCUACAGGGCUAGGGAACAGAGUCCUUGGCAUCAGUCUCCCAGCUCAACAACCCAGCCCCACCCUGCAGAGCUCGGGUGUCAGGGGUUGGCUGAAUUCAGUGGGAGGAGCCCAGAGGCAGGGCUGCCCUAGGCCUGGGGAUGUCCAAGAUCCCUGGGGUUCAACCUUUCCCCCAGACUGCACAGAGGUAGAGAUAAGGCCCAGGGGUCAAAGGCUGGAGAGAGAGCAGCCAGGGGGAGCACACUGGGAGCCACAGCCUCCCCUGACCCUCCCCAGGCCCAGAGCUUGGGCACUUCCCAGACCUCCUGCCCUUAUUGCUCAUCUCUCGGUCCUGGUCCCCGAUGAUGGCAAUCCAAUAAGAAGGACAUGGUUUUGAGAAACACAGGGGACUCCCGUCCUGAAAUCGGGUGCCAUCCCCAAAGUCUGGAUGACUUUGUUCCUGUGAUAGAUGUGUAUUCAAGGAAAGAUAAAUGCCUAAAAUGGGGAAGAAAGUGCAUCCUGUUUCCCCUGAGGUUACGGAGGGGAGAGAUUAGAGAGGAGCAGGGAGAGAGCAAGAGAAUGAAGCAGGUCCAUUUGAGCAGGGAGGCCACAUUCAAAGCAUAAAGUGAAGCACUGUUACGCCCUGACCCCAAGAGCCCUGCAGGUGGGGCCAGGGCGAAGGUCGUGUCCUCCCUUCCUGUUUGUGGGUUGGAGCUUUGGCCGUUUCCUGGGGAUUUUCCCUGAAGGGCUUGGGGUGCGGUACCUGACUCAGCAAGCACCUUUGUGGUUCCUUACACAGCAGCCCAUCCCUGGCCCAGAGACCACAGCCCCAUCCCCAACUGGGGCCACAGGCUUUGGGGAGACAGCUGGGAAGGCACCAAGGCAGGUGUUGGCGGGAGGAUUCUGAGGUGCCAACGUGGCAUUCAUGCCGCUCUGUUCCAGGAGCAUGAACUGGAGGGUGACCUCCAGAGAGAGUCCCAGGAGGGGGUGCUUGGAGCCCUUGGGAGAGCAGAGGGGGUGGCCUGCACCACUACUCUGGGUUAGGCAGGCAGGGAAGGGAUGCCCAGGCCAUCACCGAGGGGAAGGGCCCAGUCCUUAUUCCCCAGCAGGCAGCAGCCCAGCUCCUUGCUAUCAGGGAGGACCUGUCACUGGAAGGGUUAACCCAGACACCUCCAGCAACCAAUCACAGAGCCCUAUAGGGAAUACCUGGGAGAGGUCCUGGGGCCAGACCUGUAGAGCCCAACCCUAGUCUGGUCCCAGCAGCCCUCAACUGGCUCAGACACACAGACUCCACUCAGCUCCGAGCACUCUGGCGACCAAGCAUGGUGCUCCUAGCCCAGCUCACAGCAGGGCUGCUGUGGGCCAUGACGGUGGUAACGGCGGUGGUGGCCCAGCCUGCCAGUCUGCUGAGCCUGCUCACCUCAGGCCGGGGCACUCUGGAUGGAGAGGAGCUGAGCAGCCUAUUAAAUACGCUGGUGGGCCGUGUGCACUGUGCCAGCGGGCCGUGUGGAAAGGUAACAGCCCCACCCGAUGGGUCCCCCAGCCCCGGUGCUUCCUGCCUGCUCCACCCUGCAGCCUGCAGCAAAGGGAGCUGGGCAAACUCCAGGAGGCGGGCCAGGGCCAAGGCCAGAGCCAGGCCUACCACAGGCCAGAGCCUUUCCUCCCCUGCUGGGGGCUGACAGUCCUGCCCCCCACCCCACACACAGAGUUCCGCUCUUUUCCCCAGGCUGCGAAGUUGGCAGUGGCUUCAGGAAGAAACAACCCAGAGAUGGGGGUCUGACUGGUGGGGACUUUGUGUGUGCUAGCCAAGUGAGGGGCACGAGCAGGGUAGGGUGUGAGAGAGGGCCUAGGGCCCGUCCUUGCCAGGGCCUGCCUCUGCCCUCUCUGAUGGGCCCAGUCCAGCUCCUGUCCACCUGUUUCUGCCCACAGUGCCUGUCUGUGGAGGCUAUCUUGGCCCUGGGUAGGCCUGACAAGCCAGGGCUGGCUCCAGGACCAGUCCUAGAGUCCAGGUACAUAGCCCGCCUCAGUGCCGCUGCAGCUCUCUAUCUUAGCAAUCCAGAGAGGACAUGUGCAGACAUCCAGGCUGGCCGCUGGGCCUCCCAGGCCGACCACUUCCUGGUCCUACUGGAGAGUUCUGAGGCCCUGACCCAGGGCCUAAGUCAGCUGCUGCAGAAGAUCAAGGCCCAGUCUGCUGGCCGGCCUGCUGGGGAAGAGGUGAGGGCCCAUGAGGGCUGGUCAGGA